UUUAAUCGAAUGAACAUUUUAAA
rnacentral:miRNA from 1 species